rnacentral:rRNA from 1 species
CCUACGGGAGGCAGCAGUGAGGAAUAUUGGACAAUGGGCGCAAGCCUGAUCCAGCCAUGCCGCGUGCAGGAAGAAGCAUCUAUGGUGUGUAAACUGCUUUUGUACGGGAAGAAACACUCCUACGUGUAGGAGCUUGACGGUACCGUAAGAAUAAGGAUCGGCUAACUCCGUGCCAGCAGCCGCGGUAA